UGAGGUGGAGGAAUAUGAUUGGGAGUGCGUAGGGAUUUCCGUCACCGGCGUGAUGGCGAGACUUGCCGGCUUGGUAGUUGAAGAGUGUUAACUUUAUCCGAGAAUUUGAAUUGACGGAAAACUCCAUGCUGUUUAAUGGGAAUUAACGCGAUUGCCUUUGGCAGCUACCCGCCAGUUUCCGGUGAUGGUCAUUGCCUAAACUGAUUUUAGUGGUGCAGCGUGCG
rnacentral:misc_RNA from 1 species